GACGAACGCUGGCGGCGUGCCUAAUACAUGCAAGUCGAGCGAAGUUUUUCUGGUGCUUGCACUAGAAAAACUUAGCGGCGAACGGGUGAGUAACACGUAAAGAACCUGCCUCAUAGACUGGGACAACUAUUGGAAACGAUAGCUAAUACCGGAUAACAGUAUUUCUCGCACGAGAGAUAUUUAAAAGUUGGUUAUGCUAACACUAUGAGAUGGCUUUGCGGUGCAUUAGCUAGUUGGCGGGGUAAAGGCCCACCAAGGCGACGAUGCAUAGCCGACCUGAGAGGGUGAUCGGCCACACUGGGACUGAGACACGGCCCAGACUCCUACGGGAGGCAGCAGUAGGGAAUCUUCCGCAAUGGGCGAAAGCCUGACGGAGCAACGCCGCGUGAGUGAAGAAGGAUUUCGGUUCGUAAAGCUCUGUUGUUAGGGAAGAAUGGAUAUGUAGUAACUAUACAUGUAAGAGACGGUACCUAACCAGAAAGCCACGGCUAACUACGUG
rnacentral:rRNA from 1 species